UGUAACUGGAAUAUAUGGCCCAAUGUACUUCACACGGUCGCCUAAAAGCAGUAAUGUAGUUAAUUACAUGAAUAUAGCUAAUGCAAAUGGGAAAAUCAAAGUAAAUAUCCAACAAGAUGAUUUAUUAAAAGUUUGCACCAUCAUUCAAUAUCACAAGUUCAAAUUAUCGGCUUGCGGCAAGUGCCUGUAUUAAAGUUCUGCUUGCGAGUAGACAAACUACAAAGUACAAAAUAACAUAUAACAAGUUCAUGAUAUGUAAGAUCAAAGUUACCUUUUCUUAGUUGACAUUCAAAUUUAUCAUCGAACUUGCCAUCAUUAGACUUGAAAGUCUCAGACUCUCCAGAGGUUAUCUGCCAUUAGAGAAUGAGAUAUCAAACCAUCUAUUGCAGCUUAAUGAGUUCAAAGCUUCUAUACUCAUCUCAUGUACACUUGAGAGCUAUGCACAGUGAUUUUUAAUGAUAGUCCAAUAGUUAGGGUAGACUGUAUCCCUCUAUCUAGGAAAACCAUAGGCUAGAUUAUUGAGAGAUUUAGAGGUAAAUAACCUAUAUAUAAACUUAAUAUAUGGCAAAGCAGUAUGACAUAGACUGAUUUGUAUAAUGGGAAAAGGCAUGGUUGUUGUUGUUGUAUAAAUUGUGAUCAUUUAGAAAGGAAACUUAACAACCUGGGCUAGUAAUAGAACAAUACAAAAAUAGAAUCGUUGUGCAGACACAAUAAAGCUAAACAUUGGGUGAGUUUUGAAACUAGCAAGCAAAUAGAUAGGCGACAUUAACACUAGCAUCAGAAUGCCAUUUUUAAAUAUCCAUUAUCUUAAGUUAAACUCCAUGCUCUAAUUAAAAGCUUCCCUGGUACUUCAUUUUACUACAGCCAAGAAACUUAAAAGAAAAUAUAUCAUUACUCAUAAACAAUUACUAAUAGCCUAUACACCUUCGGCAAUUCUUCAACAUUAUAUGGGACAAGUUUCUGAACAGCCGCUUUAAUUUUCUCAACGACUGCUUCGGCAGAAGCCUCUGCAU
rnacentral:lncRNA from 1 species